rnacentral:rRNA from 1 species
CUAGCUGUAAACGAUGGAUACUAGGCGUUGAGAGUAUCGACCCUCCCAGUGUCGUAGCUAACGCGUUAAGUAUCCCGCCUGGGGAGUACGCGCGCAAGCGUGAAACUCAAAGGAAUUGACGGGGGCCCGCGCAAGCGGUGGAGUAUGUGGUUUAAUUCGAUGCAACGCGAAGAACCUUACCAGGGCUUGACAUGUCCGGAACCCUGCCCAAAGGCGGGGGUGCCUACGGGAACCGGAACACAGGUGGUGC